rnacentral:rRNA from 1 species
AUGUGGCCAGUUUCUCCAAAUCCUAGGCCACAAGCACCUGGAUAUGUGAAAAUGCCAGGCAGGCCUUCUAACAAUGACAGGAAGAGGGAAAAAACAGAGAAGCCGAAGGGUAAUAAAAUGAGCAAAUAUGGAACUGUGAUCAAGUGUUCAUUGUGUGGUAGCAUUGGACACAACAAGUCUAGCUGCAAAAAGAAUCCAGAGAGAGGAAAGAAAAAGAAUGCACACCUAGUUAAGAGCAAGAAAGCAGAGGUAUGUUUCCUGCAUUUUAGAUGA